CNGGAUUUAUUGGGCGUAAAGCGAGCGCNGGCGGUUAGAUAAGUCUGAAGUUAAAGGCUGUGGCUUAACCAUAGUACGCUUUGGAAACUGUUUAACUUGAGUGCAGAAGGGGAGAGCGGAAUUCCAUGUGUAGCGGUGAAAUGCGUAGAUAUAUGGAGGAACGCCGGUGGCGAAAGCGGCUCUCUGGUCUGUAACUGACGCUGAGGCUNGAAAGCGUGGGGAGCGAACAGGAUUAGAUACCCUGGUAGUNCACGCCGUAAACGAUGAGUGCUAGGUGUUAGGCCCUUUCCGGGGCUUAGUGCCGCAGCUAACGCAUUAAGCACUCCGCCUGGGGAGUACGACCGCAAGGUUGAAACUCAAAGGAAUUGACGGGGGCCCGCACAAGCGGUGGAGCAUGUGGUUUAAUUCGAAGCAACGCGAAGAACCUUACCAGGUCUUGACAUCCCGAUGCCCGCUCUAGAGAUAGAGUUUUACUUCGGUACAUCGGUGACAGGUGGUGCAUGGUUGUCGUCAGCUCGUGUCGUGAGAUGUUGGGUUAAGUCCCGCAACGAGCGCAACCCUUAUUGUUAGUUGCCAUCAUUCAGUUGGGCACUCUAGCGAGACUGCCGGUAAUAAACCGGAGGAAGGUGGGGAUGACGUCAAAUCAUCAUGCCCCUUAUGACCUGGGCUACACACGUGCUACAAUGGCUGGUACAACGAGUCGCAAGUCGGUGACGGCAAGCUAAUCUCUUAAAGCCAGUCUCAGUUCGGAUUGUAGGCUGCAACUCGCCUACAUGAAGUCGGAAUCGCUAGUAAUCGCGGAUCAGCACGCCGCGGUGAAUACGUUCCCGGGCCUUGUACACACCG
rnacentral:rRNA from 1 species